GUCCCCUGCUGAAUUCUGUCCAGGCCUUCUGUAAGCUGGGAAGUGGACUCCACACUGUUGGAGAGCUGGAGCAGGUGGAGCAGUGGACCUGAACACUCUCUCUCUCUCUCUCUCUCUCUCUCUCUCUCUCUCUCUCUCUCUCUCUCUCUCUCUCUCUCUCUCUCUCUCUCUCUCUCUCUCCCACCCUGGACUCUUCCUCCUCAUCUCUCUGUCCACGUUUAUCCAUGAUUGCCUAUGGACAAAUAGGACUAAGAUGGAUUUUUGGGGUGUUUUUAUUCCACUUUCUCUUCUUUUUUGCAUGUGGACGGAUGCUGCUGGGGAAAUUUCCUGGACCUACAAUGGUUUGGUGGGACAGUCUGAAUGGUCUGAGUAUUUUCCAGACUGUAGUGGUACUUCCCAGUCCCCUGUUGAUGUGGUAACCACUCAGACCAAAUAUGACCCUAGUUUAACAUCUGUGACCCCGCUGGGCUACAAUCAGCAUGGCAGCAUGCCCUUUUCUCUGUACAAUAAUGGGCAUACAGCUGUGAUUGAGCUACCAGAGUGGAUGGGACUGGGAGGGUUGCCAUGGCUCUUUACAGCUGUACAACUGCACCUCCACUGGGGGAGCGGUGGCCCGAGCCCAGGUGGCAGUGAACACACCAUCAACGGACAGAGUGCAGAUGCAGAGCUCCACGUGGUGCAUUAUAACUCCGAGCUCUACCCCAACAUGUCUGUGGCCAUGACACAGAGGGACGGCUUGGCUGUUCUGGGAAUUCUCAUUAAGACAGGAGAGGAUACCAAUGAGGCAUAUGGCAACAUCAUCAACUACCUCAGCCGCGUCAGACAUGCAGACCAGAGAGUGUUCAUCCCGGCCUUUGACGUCCAGACUUUGCUUCCUAACGAUCUGGAACACUACUACCGCUAUAACGGCUCUCUCACCACUCCUCCCUGCUACCAGAGCGUCAUGUGGACAGUGUUCCACAAGAGGGUUCAAAUCUCACAUGCACAACUGUUGAAACUGGAGACGAUACUUUACUCCAGUAAAGCAGAAGAUCCAGACAGAAUGCUGCUGCAGGACAACUACCGUGCAACACAUUCGCUCAACCACAGGGUUAUCUUGACUUCAUUCAGCCCAGAAUCAGGGAAGAAGCUCACUUCUGGAGAAGUCACUGCCAUAGUGAUCGGAGUGAUGUGUGGCUGUGUUGGUCUGGCAGUAAUAGUUCGCUUCAUUAUUAAGAUGAUACGAUUUUUUACAGUCCUCCGCAGUGAAACGGUCGUGGCAAACAGCUCUACUUCUAGCUGGGACGUCCUACCCAAUAUCCGACCUGCUCCUAUGCUAAGGUCACAGUUCAAAUUAUGACCUUUCACCCUUAACUUCGACCUUUCAAUCCAAGACUCUUUGUCACAUCUGGCCAUCAGCCAUCCAUCCUUAGUGACAUAACAGUCAUGUUAGUCAUUAACACCUCGUUUAGAGAAUGUCUGGUUAUAUCACUUAUCUACUUAUAUGGCAGACAACUAAUUGUUCUGCACGGUGUGUGAAGGUGGACAAACUCUGAACAUUUUGCAUUCUCAAAACUGACAGUAAAAGUCUAGCCCACUCUGUAAGGUCUUCUCAGGUGUCUCCCAACCUCAAAGUCAAAGGAACCAGCAACAUCAAUGUCACAGUGCAGAUCAGUCAGUCUUUCUACAAA